rnacentral:rRNA from 1 species
UACAGAGGGUGCAAGCGUUAAUCGGAAUUACUGGGCGUAAAGCGCGCGUAGGUGGUUUGUUAAGUUGGAUGUGAAAUCCCCGGGCUCAACCUGGGAACUGCAUUCAAAACUGACAAGCUAGAGUAUGGUAGAGGGUGGUGGAAUUUCCUGUGUAGCGGUGAAAUGCGUAGAUAUAGGAAGGAACACCAGUGGCGAAGGCGACCACCUGGACCAAUACUGACGCUCAUGUGCGAAAGCGUGGGGAGCAAACAGG